GACGAACGCUGGCGGCGUGCUUAACACAUGCAAGUCGAACGAUGAAGCUGGAGCUUGCUCUAGCGGAUUAGUGGCGAACGGGUGAGUAACACGUGAGCAAUCUGCCCUUGACUCUGGGAUAACUGCGGGAAACUGUAGCUAAUACCGGAUACUUUCACCGGGGGGCAUCCUCUGGUGAUGAAAGAAUUUCGGUCAAGGAUGAGCUCGCGGCCUAUCAGCUUGUUGGGGAGGGAACGGCUCACCAAGGCGACGACGGGUAACCGGCCUGAGAGGGUGACCGGUCACACUGGGACUGAGACACGGCCCAGACUCCUACGGGAGGCAGGAGGGGGGAAUAUUGCACAAUGGGCGCAAGCCUGAUGCAGCAACGCCGCGUGAGGGAUGAAGGCCUUCGGGUUGUAAACCUCUUUUAGCAGGGAAGAAGCGAAAGUGACGGUACCUGCAGAAAAAGCACCGGCUAACUACGUGCCAGCCGCCGCUGUAA
rnacentral:rRNA from 1 species